UUUGUUACUUACCUUCAAAACAAAGCAACCCCCCCACUGCGAAACCGAAUAAGACAGGUCACCACUCCCACAAUUCACCUCUGCCAAUUCUAAAAGACUCAAUGUUAACAAUAAAUUACAUCUUCGUAGUCAAAAGAAAGGAAAAGCUUCCCCUAAUUCACAAAGACAACCACAUUACCUACUAAGCGAGUAACAGCAGAACCACACCGCUCCAACACUAACCGAAUAGCUCCAGCCCUUAACCUUCAUCAACGAAACAGUCGACCGAUUACCAAUAAUCCAUUAACAAAAAUACACCAAAGUUACGAAACUUACCACCAAUGCACAAAAGCACAAUAGAGAUGACAAGUUACAGUAAUAAGAAGAAGGUUAGGAAACAAGAGAGAUCGACGGCAAAAGGAAAGAAGGGAAUCGACAGAACCAAGAGAAAAAUAAAAUAAAGAAAGGAGAGGGAAAAAAAUAGCCAAAAAUCAUAGCAAUACUCUGCACCACGGAAAUAGAACAGUCGACAGGAAAAACUGAGAGAAAACCAAUGCGAAAGCCAAAAUUUGUCAGGACGGUGGAAAGAAAACUGACUCUUUUUUUCAGAAAAAAAGAAAAAUGAUUAGAUUUUGGAAAUUCUCCCCACAAAAUCCCCAAAAUUUCUCCCCCUUAUCCCUAAAUUCACUCCCACACUUCCCCAC
rnacentral:lncRNA from 1 species